GAAGAACGCUGGCGGCGUGCCUAAUACAUGCAAGUCGAGCGAACAGACGAGGAGCUUGCUCCUUUGACGUUAGCGGCGGACGGGUGAGUAACACGUAGGUAACCUACCUAUAAGACUGGGAUAACUUCGGGAAACCGGAGCUAAUACCGGAUAAUAUUUCGAACCGCAUGGUUCGAUAGUGAAAGAUGGUUUUGCUAUCACUUAUAGAUGGACCUGCGCCGUAUUAGCUAGUUGGUAAGGUAACGGCUUACCAAGGCAACGAUACGUAGCCGACCUGAGAGGGUGAUCGGCCACACUGGAACUGAGACACGGUCCAGACUCCUACGGGAGGCAGCAGUAGGGAAUCUUCCGCAAUGGGCGAAAGCCUGACGGAGCAACGCCGCGUGAGUGAUGAAGGUCUUCGGAUCGUAAAACUCUGUUAUUAGGGAAGAACAAACGUGUAAGUAACUGUGCACGUCUUGACGGUACCUAAUCAGAAAGCCACGGCUAACUACGUG
rnacentral:rRNA from 1 species